AUGCAUAAGAGAAGUAGGAGAGCAGAGUUGAACAAAGAGAAAAACAAUGAAGCAAGAGGUUAUCGGAAGAAGACGAAAAGAGUGAAAUACCUGAAAGUUCAUAAUCUUUUCGACACCAUUCUUCAAUUUGAUGAAUCACCGAAGGUACUUCGGGAGGUAAACCUCAAUCUCUAUCCCUUCUUUAUACGUUUCGUUCGUUCUUCAUAUUCGACUUUCCUUCGCAUACGUAAUUAG